AUGUUUGGGAGACGAUCGACCUCAACCGGCUGACUAUGUCGGGUACCUGAACGCACAUCAUCAUCGCACGCGCUGUGUACGUACAUGUACGUUUGUGUGCAUUAUGUACACAUUGUUUUAACUUUUAUAGUCCAACAAAUACGCGGGAAAAUGGCUGAAAGUGAAAGCGACAGCGAUAGCUCUUCAUGCUCUUGGGAAGAUUUUAGCGUCGAUUCAGAAGGAUAUUCUACGGAAAGCAGUUCAUCUAGCGACGAUAAUGACAGCGAUUAUGUCCAAUCUGACGACGAUGAAAUCGUCGUUCGUGGAGUCCAACCGUACAUGUUCGAGCCGCUCCAGGAACCGGGUGCAAAAAUGACGGCGAAGCUGACGGGCAUGACGGGGCGCAGGCAGACGAUGAUCGGCGAGUUCGUCUUCAGAGUACGGAUUGGUGUUCUUGUGGAAACUGCACAGUUAUGGAGUCGGUGGAGAAUUGUCUGUGCUGCAAGGAGGUUCCGACCAUCCAGCAAAAAAUUGAACACACAGGAGUUGAUCCGGACACUCUGAGUUGUUUUACGGACCAUCCAUGGUACGAGGCCACCUGCUUGAAUCCAGGAACACUAGAGACAGCGUACUAUCAGUACAGACAGCAAUACGGUGCACAAGCUGUGAAGGGUGACAGGGCAAGCAAAUACCGACGCAUGUCCCAUCGACAGGUCGUCAGGUGGUGCUGGGGGUUCCUGGGAAGGCAAAACCGUGUACCUUUGCCUUCAUGUGUAAUGAACAAGACACGAGCUGCUUACCCUGGACCAGACGGGAACUACAAAGGUGUUAAAUAUCCAGAUUUAGAUGAAAAGAAGAACAAUCGUGAUUAAAAUUGUAUUCAUCAUUGCUUUUGAAUCCAAAUUUAAAAAUGUUCUUACGGCAGUGUUGCUUAUUGACAUUUUUUGAGGGACCCAAAACUUUUUGUUCCAUAUUUAUUUUUAUAUAACAAUGAAUGUACAUUAACAUAAUUUUAGAGAACCCACAGAAAUUUACGGAAUACUAUUCCAAAAUUGUUCCCGUUUCAAAUAUGAAAGACACAUUAAUAAUUUGUAAAGGUACUAAUUAAAAAAAAAAAUCGUCUGUCUCAUUCGGAAAGAGUCCUCAAUUCUCAAAUACGAAGGUCAAUAUACAGGUAUUGAAUAUUAUAAUGGUUUCCAGCACCAAUAAAUUCCUUUGUCAAUGAUAAAGAUUGAAAACCUUGAAUAUGAUACGGGGCCAUAGGUUGCUAAUAAUCGAUGUGUUAUACAUGGUGAAAUAUAAAUCAUGGAAACGGUUGAGUUCCCAGUACUUCAAUAAAAUUUCUCAUUCGAAUUUGAAGUGCA